AGUGAACGCUGGCGGUAGGCCUAACACAUGCAAGUCGAACGGCAGCACAGUAAGAGCUUGCUCUUACGGGUGGCGAGUGGCGGACGGGUGAGGAAUACAUCGGAAUCUACUUUUUCGUGGGGGAUAACGUAGGGAAACUUACGCUAAUACCGCAUACGACCUACGGGUGAAAGCAGGGGAUCUUCGGACCUUACGCGAUUGAAUGAGCCGAUGUCGGAUUAGCUAGUUGGCGGGGUAAAGGCCCACCAAGGCGACGAUCCGUAGCUGGUCUGAGAGGAUGAUCAGCCACACUGGAACUGAGACACGGUCCAGACUCCUACGGGAGGCAGCAGUGGGGAAUAUUGGACAAUGGGCACAAGCCUGAUCCAGCCAUACCGCGUGGGUGAAGAAGGCCUUCGGGUUGUAAAGCCCUUUUGUUGGGAAAGAAAAGCAGCAGGUUAAUACCCCGCUGUUCUGACGGUACCCAAAGAAUAAGCACCGGCUAACUUCGUG
rnacentral:rRNA from 1 species